AGAGUUUGAUCAUGGCUCAGAUUGAACGCUGGCGGCAGGCCUAACACAUGCAAGUCGGGCGGUAACAGGGAGAAGCUUGCUUCUCCGCUGACGAGCGGCGGACGGGUGAGUAAUGUAUGGGGAUCUGCCGAAUGGAAUGGGACAACAGUUGGAAACGACUGCUAAUACCGUAUACGCCCUACGGGGGAAAGAUUUAUCGGAUUUGGAUGAGCCCGCGUAAGAUUAGCUAGUUGGUGGGGUAAUGGCCUACCAAGGCGACGAUCUUUAGCUGGUCUGAGAGGAUGAUCAGCCACACUGGGACUGAGACACGGCCCAGACUCCUACGGGAGGCAGCAGUGGGGAAUAUUGGACAAUGGGCGCAAGCCUGAUCCAGCCAUGCCGCGUGAGUGAUGAAGGCCUUAGGGUUGUAAAGUACUUUCAGUUGGGAGGAAGGCGUUGAUGCUAAUAUCAUCAACGAUUGACGUUACCAACAGAAGAAGCACCGGCUAACUCCGUGCCAGCCGCCGCGGUAAUUC
rnacentral:rRNA from 1 species